UACGAAGGGGGCUAGCGUUGCUCGGAAUGACUGGGCGUAAAGGGCGCGUAGGCGGAUGGCACAGUCAGAUGUGAAAUUCCCGGCUUAACCUGGGGGCUGCAUUUGAUACGUGUUGUCUAGAGUGAGGAAGAGGGUUGUGGAAUUCCCAGUGUAGAGGUAGAAAUUCGUAGAUAUUGGGAAGAACACCGGUGGCGAAGGCGGCAACCUGGUCCUUGACUGACGCUGAGGCGCGAAAGCGUGGGGAGCAAACAGG
rnacentral:rRNA from 1 species